rnacentral:rRNA from 1 species
GACGAACGCUGGCGGCGUGCUUAACACAUGCAAGUCGAACGGAAAGGCCCCUUUGGGGGUACUCGAGUGGCGAACGGGUGAGUAACACGUGAGUAACCUGCCCUUGACUUCGGGAUAACUUCAGGAAACUGGGGCUAAUACCGGAUAGGAAUCCUUGCUGCAUGGUGGGGGUUGGAAAGCUUCGGCGGUUUUGGAUGGACUCACGGCUUAUCAGCUUGUUGGUGGGGUAGUGGCUUACCAAGGCUUUGACGGGUAGCCGGCCUGAGAGGGCGACCGGCCACAUUGGGACUGAGAUACGGCCCAGACUCCUACGGGAGGCAGCAGUGGGGAAUAUUGCACAAUGGGCGGAAGCCUGAUGCAGCAACGCCGCGUGCAGGAUGACGGCCUUCGGGUUGUAAACCGCUUUCAGCAGGGGCGAAGCUUGUGGUGACGGUACCUGCAGAAGAAGCACCGGCUAACUACGUG